AUUGAACGCUGGCGGCAUGCUUUACACAUGCAAGUCGAACGGUAACAGGGUGCUUGCACCGCUGACGAGUGGCGAACGGGUGAGUAAUACAUCGGAAUGUACCCAGUAAUGGGGGAUAACGCUUCGAAAGGAGUGCUAAUACCGCAUACGCCCUGAGGGGGAAAGUGGGGGACCGCAAGGCCUCACGUUAUUGGAGCAGCCGAUGGCUGAUUAGCUAGUUGGUGAGGUAAAGGCUCACCAAGGCGACGAUCAGUAGCGGGUCUUAGAGGACGAUCCGCCACACUGGAACUGAGACACGGUCCAGACUCCUACGGGAGGCAGCAGUGGGGAAUUUUGGACAAUGGACGCAAGUCUGAUCCAGCAAUGCCGCGUGCAGGACGAAGGCCUUCGGGUUGUAAACUGCUUUUGUACGGAACGAAACGGUGAGCUCUAAUACAGUUUGCUAAUGACGGUACCGUAAGAAUAAGCACCGGCUAACUACGUGCCAGCCGCCGCAGUAACAC
rnacentral:rRNA from 1 species